rnacentral:rRNA from 1 species
GCGAACGCUGGCGGCAGGCUUAACCCAUGCAAGUCGAGCGGGCAUAGCAAUAUGUCAGCGGCAGACGGGUGAGUAACGCGUGGGAACGUACCUUUUGGUUCGGAACAACUGAGGGAAACUUCAGCUAAUACCGGAUAAGCCCUUACGGGGAAAGAUUUAUCGCCGAAAGAUCGGCCCGCGUCUGAUUAGCUAGUUGGUGAGGUAAUGGCUCACCAAGGCGACGAUCAGUAGCUGGUCUGAGAGGAUGAUCAGCCACAUUGGGACUGAGACACGGCCCAAACUCCUACGGGAGGCAGCAGUGGGGAAUAUUGGACAAUGGGCGCAAGCCUGAUCCAGCCAUGCCGCGUGAGUGAUGAAGGCCCUAGGGUUGUAAAGCUCUUUUGUGCGGGAAGAUAAUGACGGUACCGCAAGAAUAAGCCCCGGCUAACUUCGUG